AUCUAGUGGCACUUGGGGAUCGUUCUAGCUGCGGUUUUCUUGUUACUCUUGGUGGUUGCCGCCACCUAGACGGCUUGGAGCAGCGGAGGAGGAUUGGCACGAGUUGGUGAUUGUUCGUGGCCAUCUCCCAGUGAUUGUGAGAGGUUUGUGCCUACCUCGGCGGAGUGCCAAAGGCAACAUUAGUGGAUUGCUCGUGUCAUU
rnacentral:lncRNA from 1 species